GUGGGGAAUAUUGGACAAUGGGCGAAAGCCUGAUCCAGCCAUGCCGCGUGUGUGAAGAAGGUCUUCGGAUUGUAAAGCACUUUAAGUUGGGAGGAAGGGCAGUAAGUUAAUACCUUGCUGUUUUGACGUUACCGACAGAAUAAGCACCGGCUAACUUCGUGCCAGCAGCCGCGGUAAUACGAAGGGUGCAAGCGUUAAUCGGAAUUACUGGGCGUAAAGCGCGCGUAGGUGGUUUUGUAAGUUGGAGGUGAAAUCCCCGGGCUCAACCUGGGAACUGCCUCCAAAACUGCAUGACUAGAGUACGGUAGAGGGUAGUGGAAUUUCCUGUGUAGCGGUGAAAUGCGUAGAUAUAGGAAGGAACACCAGUGGCGAAGGCGACUACCUGGACUGAUACUGACACUGAGGUGCGAAAGCGUGGGGAGCAAACAGGAUUAGAAACCCCGGUACC
rnacentral:rRNA from 1 species